rnacentral:lncRNA from 1 species
UUCACGUAGCGAGCGAUCUCAUCCUCGUUUGCCCCUUCUUCGGGCGUAGGCAUCACUGUAUCAAGGACAUACACGAUUUUCUCCGCUGUGAGAACAAUUCUCAAGUUACGGAGCCAAUCCGUAUAAUUUGGACCAGUGAGGAGGUUGACAUCAAGUAUGCCACGUAAGGGAUUUGAAAGUGACAUUUUCUGAAAAUAAAGAUGUAGCAGAAAUGAAUAACAUGCAGAUUUUGCAAGAAAUAAACUAUCAAGAUAUGGACUUCUAUCUUAAUAUGCUCCCACUAUUUUACUAACGAGUCAUGCGACACCCUUAGCACGUGAAACGGAAGUCUCCGGUAGACUUCUAGUGGGGAUCAGGAUCCAAUCAGCAUCUUAGUGUAACCUCGAGGGACUCGACCAAUCACACUAAGCCUAAAAGGUAGGCAACUCUUACCGAUCACAACUCCUUGUGAUUCCCAUCCUGUUCGGCCUCCGAAUCACCAUGGCCUCGAGGGACUCGACCAACCAUGAUGCUCGGUUAAGUUAACACCUUCGUUACAAGAUGAGUCUGAUUUGAUGAUAUACCCUCGAGGGACUCGACCAAGCAUACCAUGCCCUCAGGUCACCGAUGACAUCUCUAUGUCGUAAGCAAGAUAGCGAAUCGCGAUAUAGGUGAGUCUCGAGGGACUCGACCAACUCAACCUACACCGGGAAUCGGUUCCUACUCAUAACGAUGGAAGGCCACAUGGGUCAAUCUAAUUGCCUCACGUUUACCGACUUAAUAUUAUCGAGAGAUGUUUCUAUGAUUUGGUCUCCU